AUCGCUUCUCGCUUUGGCGCUCAGAUCAAUGUAAUCGUCUUUAUCAGUUUAAUAUCUGAUACGUCCCCAUCGUGGGACUAACAUAUAUAAUGAUUUUGUCGAACAGGGAGUCGGAAAUGGGGCUGCCUCCGUCCCCUCCACUCAUCGACCCGUUAUUGCCUUUUUUUUUUACCAGAUACCCCGUGGAGGGCUG
rnacentral:snRNA from 1 species